rnacentral:rRNA from 1 species
UUGCCAGACUCCUACGGGAGGCAGCAGUGGGGAAUAUUGGGCAAUGGGCGCAAGCCUGACCCAGCAACGCCGCGUGAAGGAAGAAGGCUUUCGGGUUGUAAACUUCUUUUAAGAGGGAAGAGAAGAAGACGGUACCUCUUGAAUAAGCCACGGCUAACUACGUGCCAGCAGCCGCGGUAAUACGUAGGUGGCAAGCGUUGUCCGGAUUUACUGGGUUUAAAGGGUGCGCAGGCGGCACGGCAAGCCGGCGGGCAAAUCGCGGGGCUCAACCCCGCCCAGCCGUCGGAACUGCCGGGCUAGAGUGGGCGAGAAGUGCGCGGAAUGCGUGGUGUAGCGGUGAAAUGCAUAGAUAUCACGCAGAACUCCGAUUGCGAAGGCAGCGCACCGGCGCCCUACUGACGCUCAGGCACGAAAGCGUGGGUAUCGAACAGGAUUAGAUACCCUCGUA